rnacentral:rRNA from 1 species
UACGUAGGGUGCGAGCGUUAAUCGGAAUUACUGGGCGUAAAGCGUGCGCAGGCGGUUUUGUAAGCCAGAUGUGAAAUCCCCGGGCUUAACCUGGGAAUGGCAUUUGGGACUGCAAGGCUCGAGUGCGGCAGAGGAGACUGGAAUUCCUGGUGUAGCAGUGAAAUGCGUAGAUAUCAGGAGGAACACCGAUGGCGAAGGCAGGUCUCCUGGGCUGACACUGACGCUCAUGCACGAAGCGUGGGGAGCAA